rnacentral:rRNA from 1 species
UGGGGAAUAUUGCACAAUGGAGGGAACUCUGAUGCAGCGACGCCGCGUGAACGAAGAAGGCCUUCGAGUCGUAAAGCUCUUUUAUAUGGGAAGAUAAUGACGGUACCAUAAGAAAAAGCCCCGGCUAACUACGUGCCAGCAGCCGCGGUAAUACGUAGGGGGCUAGCGUUGUCCGGAAUCACUGGGCGUAAAGGGUUCGCAGGCGGAAAUGCAAGUCAGAUGUAAAAGGCAGUAGCUUAACUACUGUAAGCAUUUGAAACUGCAUAUCUUGAGAAGAGUAGAGGUAAGUGGAAUUUUUAGUGUAGCGGUGAAAUGCGUAGAUAUUAAAAAGAAUACCGGUGGCGAAGGCGACUUACUGGGCUCAUUCUGACGCUGAGGAACGAAAGCGUGGGUAGCAAACAGG